GGGUCAGUAGGUUGGUCGUGCCACCGGUACGUACUGGUCUCACUGAUUCCUCCUUCCUGAAGAACCGUAAUGCCAUUAAUUUGGUGUUGCGGGGAAACAGGACUGUUACUUUGAAGAAAUUAGAGUGUUUAAAGCAAGCUAACGCUUGAAUACAUUAGCAUGGAAUAAUGAAAUAGGACGAUCGAUCCUAUUUUGUUAGUUUCUAGGAUUGACGUA
rnacentral:rRNA from 1 species